rnacentral:rRNA from 1 species
CCUACGGGAGGCAGCAGUGAGGAAUAUUGGUCAAUGGACGAGAGUCUGAACCAGCCAAGUAGCGUGAAGGAUGACUGCCCUAUGGGUUGUAAACUUCUUUUAUAUGGGAAUAAAAUGUUCCACGUGUGGGAUUUUGUAUGUACCAUAUGAAUAAGGAUCGGCUAACUCCGUGCCAGCAGCCGCGGUAAUACGGAGGAUCCGAGCGUUAUCCGGAUUUAUUUGGUUUAAAGGGAGCGUAGGUGGAUUGUUAAGUCAGUUGUGAAAGUUUGCGGCUCAACCGUAAAAUUGCAGUUGAAACUGGCAGUCUUGAGUACAGUAGAGGUGGGCGGAAUGCGUGGUGUAGUGGUGAAAUGCUUAGAUAUCGCGAAGAACUCCGAUUGCGAAGGCAGCUCACUGGACUGCAACUGACACUGAGGCUCGAAAGUGUGGGUAUCAAACAGGAUUAGAUACCCCUGUAGUC